CUUCCACUCUCCAGGCCCUUUAGUCUUCAGAGAUUUUUGUUCGGUGUUGUCGUUUGGUUUUUAAUUCAAACACCAAAACUUUCUGUAGGUGAUUUUUUUUUUUUUUUGCUGUUCUUUGUUCUUUUUUUAACCUAUCUGUGCUGUUAUGGGAAUUUCUAGAAUAAGCAUGUCGACAGGAAGAAAAAAAGGAAAAAGGGAGAAAGGAAGUCAAAGAAGAAAACAAAGACGACAGGCCUAAAAGGAAAUGAUAGGCAAUGAAUACCAGGCAACAGUGGAAAGGAAUACACUGUUGGCACGUACACGAGGUAAUGUGGAUGGAGCUCAAAAUAAACACACUCAGCGGAAGGAAGACCAGCAGAUGAACACACGGCGGGCUCCCAGGUCGGGCAGUGCAAACUAAUGUGUGGCGGCAGAGAUGAAAAAAAGUCUUCAAAAGGAAACAUUUUGCCAGCGUGGAACAGGUGAGACAAAAAACUGCAGAAGCACUAAAAGGCAUCCAAAUGGACUAGUUCAAAAACUGUUUUGAGCAACAGGGAAAAAAGUCUCGAUGGGCGUAUUGCAGCAGAUGAAGAGUCCUUUGAAGGGGACUGAAGCUGAAACAUGCUUUUUUGAAGGCAUGCACUGUUUUGAGAAUGCAGCCUGCCCUCGUGUCUGUUUUGAUGAGAAAGUAGGACUGACGUCAUGGCGUCUCCGUGCGUGGGGCUCUCCGUGGUAUUUCCAGGGGCAGUACUCACUGAGUUGGGCCGUCCACAGCCCCCUGCGCUCCCCCCCGACCUGCUUCCCUGGAUGAGGACGUCAUUAAGAGUUGAGCUCGGAAGGUCCAAAGCUCUCAAUUCAGGUGUCUGCAGGGAGGGCUGCGUCCCUUCUGGAGGCUGUGGGCGAGUCCCUGUCUUGGCCCUUUCCAGCUGCUGGGGGCGGCGGGCAUCCUCCGACUCACCACCCCUCCCUGUAAUCACUGCGGCAGCAGUGGCAUCUUCUCUGCCCCGGCCUUCUCCGGAGGAGUCUGGUGGGGACGGUGGGCCCACCUCGAGCAUCCAGGGUGCUGCCUUUAUUUCAAAGUCCUGAAGCCCACCAGCGAAGUGUCUUCUGCAGUGUAAGGUCAGUGGUCAACUCCGCCCCGCUGUCGGGGGGCCCAAGGACGUGGUAAACUGCUUCAUGGGGCUCCCUUCCCCCGGCCCCUGCUUGGCUCCCGCUGAAGAAAGCAUAGCAGGAGUUUCCAGGGUACAAGAAGAGAGACGUCGUGUUCUUCUCCCACCUUCCCGUCCCUCGCUGUCCCUCCCUGCCACGCUGCCCGGGGGCGGUCCGCGGCCCUCUCCAGCUGCGCCCUCUCUU